UCCAGUCCCUGUACACAGUUAUUCCUCAUAAGUUAGGAAUUGAACAUUGUUUACAUUUUCUUGUCUUGAGGACAGAUCCCAACCGACCUUCUUCUUUCCUAGCUGAACUCAUGAGGUUGUUGCUCACCAGAAACUACUUCAAGCUUGACAAUGCCUUCCUUCAGUGUAGUGGGACAGCCAUGGGCACAAGAUUGGCACCCUUGAACUUCCCUAAUCUACACCUCGGGGUGACCUACAGUCCCUGUCCUUUCAUCAAUUUUUGAAACCAUUACAGAACACCUGUGCUUCACUAUGGAACAUGACGAGGAAGGACGAGACUUCAUGGACGUGCACAUCACCAAAAUAGGUGGAGACAUUGACCACAGCACACUACAUCCUGAGUUCCAACCAGUAUGGUCUACCACACUGUCUCAUUA
rnacentral:lncRNA from 1 species